GGGGAAUCUUGCACAAUGGGGGCAACCCUGAUGCAGCGACGCCGCGUGAGCGAUGAAGCCCUUCGGGGCGUAAAGCUCUUUCGACCGGAACGAUAAUGACGGUACCGGGAGAAGAAGCUGCGGCUAACUACGUGCCAGCAGCCGCGGUAAUACGUAGGCAGCAAGCGCUGUUCGGAGUUACUGAGCGUAAAGAGUGCGUAGGCGGUUUUCUAAGUUCGGUGUGAAAUCUCCCGGCUUAACUGGGAGGGUGCGCCGAAGACUGGGAAGCUGGAGUGUGGGAAAGGCAGGCGGAAUUCCUGGUGUAGCGGUGAAAUGCGUAGAUAUCAGGAGGAACACAGGCGGUGUAGACGGCUUGCUAGACCAUAACUGACGCUGAGGCACGAAAGCGUGGGUAGCAAAC
rnacentral:rRNA from 1 species